rnacentral:rRNA from 1 species
GACGAACGCUGGCGGCGUGCUUAACACAUGCAAGUCGAACGGAAAGGCCCUGCUUGCAGGGUACUCGAGUGGCGAACGGGUGAGUAACACGUGGGUGAUCUGCCCUGCACUUCGGGAUAAGCCUGGGAAACUGGGUCUAAUACCGGAUAGGAGCCAUUUUUAGUGUGAUGGUUGGAAAGUUUUUUCGGUGUAGGAUGAGCUCGCGGCCUAUCAGCUUGUUGGUGGGGUAAUGGCCUACCAAGGCGGCGACGGGUAGCCGGCCUGAGAGGGUGGACGGCCACAUUGGGACUGAGAUACGGCCCAGACUCCUACGGGAGGCAGCAGUGGGGAAUAUUGCACAAUGGGCGCAAGCCUGAUGCAGCGACGCCGCGUGGGGGAGGGCGGCCUUCGGGUUGUAAACUCCUUUCGCUAGGGACGAAGCUUUUUGUGACGGUACCUAGAUAAGAAGCACCGGCUAACUACGUG